CAGUAGCCGCGGUAAUACGUAGGGUGCAAGCGUUAAUCGGAAUUACUGGGCGUAAAGCGUGCGCAGGCGGUUUGUUAAGACAGAUGUGAAAUCCCCGGGCCCAACCUGGGAACUGCAUUUGUGACUGGCAAGCUAGAGUGUGGCAGAGGGGGGUGGAAUUCCGCGUGUAGCAGUGAAAUGCGUAGAUAUGCGGAGGAACACCGAUGGCGAAGGCAGCCCCCUGGGCCAACACUGGCGCUCAUGCACGAAAGCGCGGGGAGCAAACAGGAUUAGAUACCCGCGUAGUCCCUGUCUCUUAUAA
rnacentral:rRNA from 1 species